rnacentral:rRNA from 1 species
AACGAACGCUGGCGGCAGGCUUAACACAUGCAAGUCGAGCGCCCCGCAAGGGGAGCGGCAGACGGGUGAGUAACGCGUGGGAAUCUACCCAUCUCUACGGAAUAACGCAUGGAAACGUGUGCUAAUACCGUAUACGUCCUUCGGGAGAAAGAUUUAUCGGAGAUGGAUGAGCCCGCGUUGGAUUAGCUAGUUGGUGGGGUAAAGGCCUACCAAGGCGACGAUCCAUAGCUGGUCUGAGAGGAUGAUCAGCCACACUGGGACUGAGACACGGCCCAGACUCCUACGGGAGGCAGCAGUGGGGAAUAUUGGACAAUGGGUGCAAGCCUGAUCCAGCCAUGCCGCGUGAGUGAUGAAGGCCCUAGGGUUGUAAAGCUAUUUCACCGGUGAAGAUAAUGACGGUAACCGGAGAAGAAGCCCCGGCUAACUUCGUGCCAGCAGCCGCCGUAACAC